UACGGGGGGGGCAAGCGUUGUUCGGAAUUACUGGGCGUAAAGGGCGCGUAGGCGGUUUGCUAAGUUGAAUGUGAAAACUCUGGGCUUAACCCAGAGCCUGCAUCCAAAACUGGCAGACUUGAGUACUGGAGGGGAAAGCGGAAUUCCUGGUGUAGCGGUGAAAUGCGUAGAUAUCUGGAGGAACACCGGUGGCGAAGGCGGCAUCCUGGACCAAUUCUGACGCUGAGGAGCGAAAGCCAGGGGAGCAAACGGG
rnacentral:rRNA from 1 species